rnacentral:misc_RNA from 1 species
UAAAGUGCGAUAUGUAAUGCGAUCUGCAUGAAUCUGUGAGUCAUCAAAUCUUUGAACGCAACUUGCGCCUCCCUGAGGCAUGUCUGUUUGAGCGUCGUCCUUACGAUGAGUGAUUUAUUCGAAUUGACUUUGCAAUGUUGCAUGGUUUAAAUGGAGCUCGACACCAAUCAUAGAGUUGGAGUGAAUUAGACUGCCAAGCAUCAUCCAAUUCACCCCUCACUCUCUUUACUGACCUCAAAUCAGGCAAGAUUACCCGCUGAACUUAA